GACGAACGCUGGCGGCGUGCUUAACACAUGCAAGUCGAACGGACAGGCCCUGCUUUUGUGGCGUGCUCGAGUGGCGAACGGGUGAGUAACACGUGAGUAUCCUGCCCUUGACUUUCGGAUAACUUCAGGAAACUGGGGCUAAUACAGGAUAUGAGCUCCUGCUGCAUGGUGGUGGUUGGAAAGUUUCGGCGGUUGGGGAUGGACUCGCGGCUUAUCAGCUUGUUGGUGGGGUAGUGGCUUACCAAGGCUUUGACGGGUAGCCGGCCUGAGAGGGUGACCGGCCACAUUGGGACUGAGAGACGGCGCAGACGCCUACGGGAGGCAGCAGUGGGGAAUAUUGCACAAUGGGCGGAAGCCUGAUGCAGCAACGCCGCGUGCGGGAUGACGGCCUUCGGGUUGUAAACCGCUUUCGCCUGUGACGAAGCGUGAGUGACGGUAAUGGGUAAAGAAGCACCGGCUAACUACGUG
rnacentral:rRNA from 1 species